AUAGACCCGAAACCCGGUGAUCUAGCCAUGGGCAGGUUGAAGGUUGGGUAACACUAACUGGAGGACCGAACCGACUAAUGUUGAAAAAUUAGCGGAUGACCUGUGGCUGGGGGUGAAAGGCCAAUCAAACCGGGAGAUAGCUGGUUCUCCCCGAAAGCUAUUUAGGUAGCGCCUCGUGAAUUCAUCUCCGGGGGUAGAGCACUGUUUCGGCUAGGGGGCCAUCCCGGCUUACCAACCCGAUGCAAACUGCGAAUACCGGAGAAUGUUAUCACGGGAGACACACGGCGGGUGCUAAUGUCCGUCGUGAAGAGGGAAACAACCCAGACCGCCAGCUAAGGUCCCAAAGUCAUGGUUAAGUGGGAAACGAUGUGGGAAGGCCCAGACAGCCAGGAUGUUGGCUUAGAAGCAGCCAUCAUUUAAAGAAAGCGUAAUAGCUCACUGGUCGAGUCGGCCUGCGCGGAAGAUGUAACGGGGCUAAACCAUGCACCGAAGCUGCGGCAGCGACACCGUGUGUUGUUGGGUAGGGGAGCGUUCUGUAAGCCUGUGAAGGUGUGCUGUGAGGCAUGCUGGAGGUAUCAGAAGUGCGAAUGCUGACAUAAGUAACGAUAAAGCGGGUGAAAAGCCCGCUCGCCGGAAGACCAAGGGUUCCUGUCCAACGUUAAUCGGGGCAGGGUGAGUCGACCCCUAAGGCGAGGCCGAAAGGCGUAGUCGAUGGGAAACGGGUUAAUAUUCCCGUACUUGGUGUUACUGCGAAGGGGGGACGGAGAAGGCUAUGUUGGCCGGGCGACGGUUGUCCCGGUUUAAGCGUGUAGGUAUGUGUUCCAGGUAAAUCCGGUUCACUUUAACACUGAGGCGUGACGACGAGGCACUACGGUGCUGAAGCAACAAAUGCCCUGCUUCCAGGAAAAGCCUCUAAGCAUCAGGUAACAUCAAAUCGUACCCCAAACCGACACAGGUGGUCAGGUAGAGAAUACCAAGGCGCUUGAGAGAACUCGGGUGAAGGAACUAGGCAAAAUGGUGCCGUAACUUCGGGAGAAGGCACGCUGACACGUAGGUGAAGUGAUUUACUCACGGAGCUGAAGUCAGCCGAAGAUACCAGCUGGCUGCAACUGUUUAUUAAAAACACAGCACUGUGCAAACACGAAAGUGGACGUAUACGGUGUGACGCCUGCCCGGUGCCGGAAGGUUAAUUGAUGGGGUCAGCGCAAGCGAAGCUCCUGAUCGAAGCCCCGGUAAACGGCGGCCGUAACUAUAACGGUCCUAAGGUAGCGAAAUUCCUUGUCGGGUAAGUUCCGACCUGCACGAAUGGCGUAAUGAUGGCCAGGCUGUCUCCACCCGAGACUCAGUGAAAUUGAACUCGCUGUGAAGAUGCAGUGUACCCGCGGCAAGACGGAAAGACCCCGUGAACCUUUACUAUAGCUUGACACUGAACAUUGAGCCUUGAUGUGUAGGAUAGGUGGGAGGCUUUGAAGUGUGGACGCCAGUCUGCAUGGAGCCGACCUUGAAAUACCACCCUUUAAUGUUUGAUGUUCUAACGUGGACCCGUGAUCCGGGUUGCGGACAGUGUCUGGUGGGUAGUUUGACUGGGGCGGUCUCCUCCUAAAGAGUAACGGAGGAGCACGAAGGUUGGCUAAUCCUGGUCGGACAUCAGGAGGUUAGUGCAAUGGCAUAAGCCAGCUUGACUGCGAGCGUGACGGCGCGAGCAGGUGCGAAAGCAGGUCAUAGUGAUCCGGUGGUUCUGAAUGGAAGGGCCAUCGCUCAACGGAUAAAAGGUACUCCGGGGAUAACAGGCUGAUACCGCCCAAGAGUUCAUAUCGACGGCGGUGUUUGGCACCUCGAUGUCGGCUCAUCACAUCCUGGGGCUGAAGUAGGUCCCAAGGGUAUGGCUGUUCGCCAUUUAAAGUGGUACGCGAGCUGGGUUUAGAACGUCGUGAGACAGUUCGGUCCCUAUCUGCCGUGGGCGCUGGAGAACUGAGGGGGGCUGCUCCUAGUACGAGAGGACCGGAGUGGACGCAUCACUGGUGUUCGGGUUGUCAUGCCAAUGGCACUGCCCGGUAGCUAAAUGCGGAAGAGAUAAGUGCUGAAAGCAUCUAAGCACGAAACUUGCCCCGAGAUGAGUUCUCCCUGAGACUUUAGGUCUCCUGAAGGAACGUUGAAGACGACGACGUUGAUAGGCCGGGUGUGUAAGCGCAGCGAUGCGUUGAGCUAACCGGUACUAAUGAACCGUGAGGCUUAACCUUACAACGCCGAAG
rnacentral:rRNA from 1 species